CCCACCCCUUCCCAGAACUCAUUUAAGGGUAGGCAGCAGAGGUGAGAGUAUCUUACUGGUGAUACCUGGAUAUCUGAGUCUUUCUGAAGACAGAACACAUCAAAUUAGAAGUACAAUGGAAAAGCCUAAGCAGCAGAGAUAUGACAGACCUCAGAGGCAUUACUUGGUAUUUACACUGUGGAGAAGGAUCUAUAAAGUUUCUAAGCUACAUUAAGAAAAAAUGACUUCAAAAUUGGACCAGAGAGAUAACACCACUUAUGAUCCUCUUGCUUGGAAUGAGAGCAAUGCAGUACAUUCGAACAACACACUGAGUUACUAUUGACCCAUCUGGGACAAUCCUGACUACUGAAGAAAUGGGAGAUGAUCAUACGAAGUAUAUUUUCUGGAAAUGAUAUAAGCCAGGAAAUUCUCUUUUUUUGACAGAGGUUUGGAAUAUGUCUGUCUAAUUCACUCUCUGAUUCUUUUUGUAUCUGUCACAACCUCAGUGGUGGGAAAAUUCUAGAUUUUUCAUCCAAGGAAUAUUUCCUGUGCUGUGCCCUCAGACAUCUUUCAUGGCAUGGCAGAAAACCCAUACGUACUCAUUUUUAAGUAGAAUUUAUAUUAAUGAACUUGUGUCACCUGUGUGUCUUGGCUCCUUCUACAGCCAAUGCAGAGAUGUAAUUCACUGGUUGUAUUCUGCAGUGGGAAGCUACUCAGUGCAAUCAAUACACACAAAUGUGGCACAGUUUUCAUCUCAGAAACAAAUGAUUGAUGUAACAUUUUCAGGGCCAUUCAGAAGCAGCAUACAAUGACCAGGAAGAGUUUUUCUUUUCCUGGGAGUACACAUAAGUGAAAGCUUAUGUGAGCCAUCCUCCUGGACACCUAUCCACUGACGGUGCCUUCAUUUGUUCCAAAAAGUAUUCAAAUUGACAUCUAGUCAGCACAGAUCACAAGGAGUAACCCUCAGGUUGCAGCAAAUAGCAGUGUACAAAACCCAUGAGGUAUUUAAGAUACAAAAAUUUGACCUUGAGGUCCCUGAAAAGUAGCUGAAAAGUUUCCAGUGCUAAUCUGGUCAUUUUUUUUCAUCACUGUGUGAAUCAUCUUGAUGUCUAACUUCAUUAGGACUAAGACAUGAUUAUAAGCCUCAAAGCAAGAGGACAACCUUUUAGUGGAACUCCUUAGAUGUUGUUAACCAGUACAACAAUGCUCAAAAUUCAGUAUUUGUUUAAUGGAUUUUGAAGGACCACAAACUAUCUGGGGUCAAUCAUUUGUAUGAUGCAGGGACUCAGAGCCUGGGAAUCAGAGGCUGACCAGAGCUGGGUGUCCUGGUAGACAACAGGUUGACCAUGAGCCAGCAGUGUGCAGUUGUGUCCAAGAAGGCCAAUGGUAUCCUGGGGUGCAUUAAAAAGAAUGUAACCGGCAUGUUGAGGGAGGUGAUCCUCCCCCUCUACUCUGACCAGGUGAGGCCAUAUCUGGAGUACUGGGUCCAAUUCCAGGUUCCCCAUUUAAAAAGAUUUUAAAAAAAGGUAACUUCUAGGGAGAGCCCAUUGGAGGGCCACAAAGAUGAUGAGGGGCCUGAAGAAUCUCCUUCAUGAGGAAAAACUGAGAACUCUGGGACUCUUUAGCCUGGAGAAGAGAAGGCUGAGAGGGGAUCUUAUCAAUGCUUAUACAUAUCUAAAGGGUAGAAAUCAGGUGGAUGGGACCAGGCUCUUUUCAGUGAUACCAAGCAACAGGACAAGUGGUAACAGAAACAAAUUGGAAUACAGAAAACUCCAUAUGAACACAAGGAAAAAAUACUUUGCUUUGAGGGUGUCAGAGCACUGGAACAAGCUGUCCAGGGAGGAUUGGCAGCUUCUUUCUCUGGAGAUAUUUAAAACCUGUCUGGAUGCUUUUCUGUGUAAUCUACAAUAGGGAACCUGCUUUAACAGAGGGUUAGACUGGGGAUUUCCAGAGGUCCUUUCCAACCCCUAUGGUUCUGUUACUCUGUGUGACUGUGAAAAAUGCCUAAUGAAUUUAAAUAUUUCAGCUGAAUAAAUGUUAACUAAAUAUUCUCACAACCAAAAAAGACACUCUGCUGACCAUAUCAACAGCUUCUCCAGUUUUCUCUUCCUCUUCAGAUGAAACCAGGCCAUUAUGUAUCACUAAAUGAGAAACUAAAAAAUCUAAAGUAAAAAAAAAAGAUUUAAAAAGAUUUGAACACAAGUACAAAUGCAAAAAAGGAACGUUUCUUGAAACAGGAAUCUUAGAUCCUUUUCACUAAAAUCUUUGCAUGUAUAUUGUAUAUUGUUGUGGAUGCCCCAUUCCUGGAGAUGGGCCAGGCUGGAUGUGGCUCUGGGAAGCCUGGUCUGGUGGUUGGUGACCCUGCACAUAGCAGGGGGUUGAAACUCGAUGAUCACUGUGGUCCUUUUCAACCCAGGCCAUUCUAUGAUUCUAUGAUAUAAAUAAAAUGCAUAUCAAUGCAUAUUAAAUUUCAAGUACAUUUGGAAACUUCCUUAAUUUCAAGUACAUUUGGAAAUUUCCUUACAUCAUAGAUACCUGCUACAAAGGACAUAAGACACAAGUCCUAGAAAGGAACGACACUAUAAAUUUUUAUCAGUUGGAUCAGAAAUAUUUUUAUGCUGUGGGCAGUAUCAGUUUAUAAGAAGAACAGAUUACUAUCUGCUAUAACAAGGAGCAUUAACUAUGAUUAAAGACCUGACUUUGAAAGUCAGACCAACUCCAUAAUACAAUCUUUUCUCCUCUAAGGCAAUUUUUAAAAGAAACUUUUAAAUAUUUAAGCAGUUAAGCAGCCUAUGAAGCUAGGGCUGUCUGGAUACAUUUGGCAAUAGAUUUUAAUCUUAAUUAAAAAAAAAAUAAGAUAUAGCUGACUAUUUAUGAUAAGGGAAUAGAAAUAUAAUUUGUAUGUUAAUUAAUUACACAUUGGGUAAACUCUAGUUGGGUAAAAACAUUUGUGGUCUUAUUAACUUUAUUAGAGCUGAACUGAAAUGGAGGAAAUCUUGAUCUGUUCACUUUUUUACUGAUGAAAAGGAGAGUGCCAUGGUGUAUAUUACUUUAAAACAGGAUUGCUGGUGUUGUGAUUAAGGCAUAGCUGAAAGAUCAAUCCGAUAUGAAAGGAACUGAACUGCUCAUGAAUACAGCCAAUUCUGGCAUCCUAUCUGAUCAAAUUAAAAUGUCAGGUUUCUUACCAACAAGUCAGGACAGUAAGAUUCAAUGAGCUCAUGUUGUUUGAUUUCAGAACAGACGAAUGGGUCAAUCAUGUUGUUGAUUUGGGUCCUACAGUGUCAUUUUCAGAGAAAUGCCUUUUGAUGCUGUGGUGUAGCUCCUGAAAACUAUUCAAGCACCCACAGUCCCUGAGAAACCUGAACUGAAAUUCAGCCAUUAUGUUAAAUAGUCAUUGGUUUGUAGUACUAUUACAUUAAACUGUCUAAGGAUGAAAAAAAUCAGUAGUUUCUAUAAUAAUGAUUAAAACAACACUGUUAUCCUCACUUAAAGUGCAGACAUUGAUGCAAAUAAAUUUCAGAUUCCACUCACAUGAAAUAUUCUUAUGGCAAGAUGGGAAAAUAACUCAAAUAUACUGAACUCUCAGUGAAUACUCUAAUGUUUUAAUUACUGUAUAUAUAAAAAUAUAUACCCAAUAUAUAUGUAUAAUUGAAUGACAUCUAGAUAGAUACACAUAUGAAAGCAAUUAUUUUCAACUCUUAAUAGAAAAAGGAGAUAGUUUCCUUUGUAAAUAUGUGAUAAUUGAAAUAAUUUGUGUGAAGUCCAUCAGGGCAUCCAGUGAAAUCUGAUCUGUGUUGUAUACUGACAAUGCACUGUUUUGUGAGCUCAUGUACAUUGAACUUCCUCAUAUGUUUCAUUUCCUAACAUGGUUAAGAGAUAGAGUUGCUGAUGUGCAGAGAGUGUCAUUUAUUUAAGGCUGUGGGCAAACUCUUAUUUCUGCAUUUCGGGUGUGAACAGAUAAUUAUCAAUUUGACUUAUCAUACUUGGAGAAGAGAGGGCUCCAGGGAGACCUCACUGUGGCCUUCCAAUGUUCGAAGGGAGUGUAUAAGCAGGAGGAGUUACAACUGUAUAUGAGGGUGGAUAGUGAUAAGACAAGGGGGAACGCUUCUAAACUGAGAUGGGGGAGGUUUAGGUUAGAUAUUAGGAGGAAGUUUUUCACUCAGAGGGUGGUGACACACUGGAACAGGUUGCCCAAGGAGGUUGUGGAUGCCCCAUCCCUGGAGGCAUUCAAAGCCAGGCUGGAUGUGGCUCUGGGCAGCCUGGUCUGGUGGUUGGCGACCUUGCAUAUAGCAGGGGGGUUGAAACUGGAUGAUCAUUGUGUUCCUUUUCAAUCCAGGCCAUUCCAUGAUUCUAUGAUUCUGUGAUUCUGUGGUUCUGUGAUUCUGUGAUUCCAUGAAUGUGUAGUGUGCUGUGAAGGCAUACAGAAACAAUAACUUCUCCCAGUUCAGGUUGCUUCAAUGGAACACAGUAAUAAACUGCAUUCCCUCCAUUUCUUGCAAUUAUAUGUUGGCUUACACAGACAAAUCAGCAUCUUCAGUCUCACUUCAGCAAAUUAAUUAAUUACUUCAAUAAUUAGGGCAUGGUACAUGGGGUCAUCCAGAUUUACAAAAUGUUUUGUUUUACGAUUUGGACUUGAUGAUCUGUUUCGGUCCCUUCCAACUCCUGCAAUUCUGUGACUCCAUGAUUUAUGUCCGAAAACAUACUGGAGUUUUACUGGGUGCUGUUGAUUUGGUAGGCAGUCAUUUCAGGGUCAAUCCAAGCAACACAACAGGUUUUUUACAAUCAAUAAUUUGAGUUACAUCGUAAUUUUAAUGGGAAAAAUGCUAAAAAUGUACCAAAGAAAUGUAAGUGAAUUUUAGUUAACAUUUUACAUUUUCUUAUAUGCUUUUCAUUAGCUUUGCCAGCUCCUGCUGAAGUACCAAGUCUGGUGAACUCUUCAGCCAUCUUAUUUUGCAAAGCAGAGUUAAACAUAAGAAAAGACUAUCAGGCCUUUUUAACAUUACACAUUCAUCAAAGGAGCUGAAAAACAAGGGUGGGCAAAAUCGGAAAUGUGUAAAUCACUGUGUUUUAUUUCCUCAAACUUUUAUUUAGUUUUUAAAUGAAAACCAACAAAUGAUAUCAAAAUGUAAUACACUAUAUGACUUAUUUUGUCAAUAAAAACCUAUGGGAUUUACACUGCCAUGCGAGGAAGGCCAUUUACAUGUUAAGAAGCCAUUUAUGACACCAAUAAAAGCCUACGGGAUUUACUUUACAAUGCGAGGGAAGUCAUUUAUGAUGUUAAGA
ensembl:lncRNA